rnacentral:rRNA from 1 species
AGAGCAUGUGGUGGAUGCCUUGGCGAUUACAGGCGACGAAGGACGUGAUAGCCUGCGAUAAGCUUCGGGGAGCUGGCAAAUAAGCUUUGAUCCGGAGAUUUCCGAAUGGGGAAACCCACCCUUAGGGGUAUCGCAUGAUGAAUACAUAGUCAUGCGAGGCGAACCGGGUGAACUGAAACAUCUCAGUAGCUCGAGGAAAAGACAUCAACCGAGAUUCCGAAAGUAGUGGCGAGCGAAAUCGGAAGAGCCUGCUAGUGAUAGCACGACUGUUAACGGAACGGCUUGGAAAGGCCGGCCAUAGCGGGUGAUAGCCCCGUACGUGAAAACAGACGUGUGGUACUGAGCUAGCGACAAGUAGGGCGGGACACGUGAAAUCCUGUCUGAAGAUGGGGGGACCAUCCUCCAAGGCUAAAUACUCGUAAUCGACCGAUAGUGAACUAGUACCGUGAGGGAAAGGCGAAAAGAACCCCGGGAGGGGAGUGAAAUAGAUCCUGAAACCGCAUGCUUACAAAAAGUAGGAGCCCGCAAGGGUGACUGCGUACCUUUUGUAUAAUGGGUCAGCGACUUACAUUCAGUGGCAAGCUUAACCGAAUAGGGAAGGCGUAGGGAAACCGAGUCCGAAUAGGGCGUCCAGUCGCUGGGUGUAGACCCGAAACCAAGUGAUCUAUCCAUGGCCAGGAUGAAGGUGCCGUAACAGGUACUGGAGGUCCGAACCGACUAGUGUUGCAAAACUAGCGGAUGAGCUGUGGAUAGGGGUGAAAGGCUAAACAAACUUGGAAAUAGCUGGUUCUCUCCGAAAACUAUUUAGGUAGUGCCUCAAGUAUUGCCAUCGGGGGUAGAGCACUGUUUAGGCUAGGGGGUCAUGGCGACUUACCAAACCUAUGCAAACUCCGAAUACCGAUGAGUACAGCUUGGGAGACAGAGCACCGGGUGCUAACGUCCGGACUCAAGAGGGAAACAACCCAGACCGCCAGCUAAGGUCCCUAAAACGGGCUAAGUGGGAAACGAAGUGGGAAGGCUAAAACAGUCAGGAUGUUGGCUUAGAAGCAGCCAUCAUUUAAAGAAAGCGUAAUAGCUCACUGAUCGAGUCGUCCUGCGCGGAAGAUGUAACGGGGCUAAGCCAGUUACCGAAGCUGCGGAUUUGCACGCAAGUGCAAGUGGUAGGAGAGCGUUCUGUAAGCCUGUGAAGGUGUCUCGAGAGGGAUGCUGGAGGUAUCAGAAGUGCGAAUGCUGACAUGAGUAGCGUUAAAGGGGGUGAAAAGCCCCCUCGCCGUAAGCGCAAGGUUUUCUACGCAACGUUCAUCGGCGUAGAGUGAGUCGGCCCCUAAGGCGAGGCAGAGAUGCGUAGCUGAUGGGAAACAGGUCAAUAUUCCUGUACCGAUGUGUAGUGCGAUGUGGGGACGGAGAAGGUUAUCUCAGCCGGGUGUUGGAUGUCCCGGUUCAAGCCUGUAGUCGUGCCUGGUAGGUAAAUCCGCCGGGCUUAGAUGAGAGGUGAUAACGAGGCGGCUUGCCGCCGAAGUGAGUGAUACCCUGCUUCCAGGAAAAGCCACUAAGCUUCAGCUACACACGACCGUACCGCAAACCGACACUGGUGCGCGAGAUGAGUAUUCUAAGGCGCUUGAGAGAACUCGGGAGAAGGAACUCGGCAAAUUGACACCGUAACUUCGGAAGAAGGUGUGCCCUUAGUAGGUGAAGUCCCUCGCGGAUGGAGCCCAAUGGGGUUGCAAAAAAUCGGUGGCUGCGACUGUUUAAUAAAAACACAGCACUCUGCAAACACGAAAGUGGACGUAUAGGGUGUGACGCCUGCCCGGUGCUGGAAGAUUAAGUGAUGGGGUGCAAGCUCUUGAUCGAAGUCCCAGUAAACGGCGGCCGUAACUAUAACGGUCCUAAGGUAGCGAAAUUCCUUGUCGGGUAAGUUCCGACCUGCACGAAUGGCGUAACGAUGG